CUCUUGCGGGAAAUCACUGACAGACUUAAGGCCCAGCGUAUUCAAAACAAACAAAGAUGAAAGCAUUCUUCGUUCUCGCGACCUUGAUGGUCCUUUUCGCCGUGUUCAACCCAGCAGAAAUGACCCAGGCAGAAAUCGAUGAAUGCAAGAACAUCUGUGGCUCACACGAAUGUACUACUACAGGUUUCAAUGGUAAUUGUUACAAGACAUGUGCUGCAACCUGCGAAACUGACUAUGCGUAACAGCUACACCUUCUAAUGAUAGGAUGGAAACUAUAGAUUAGGUCUAUCCGCCACAUCUGUACCCACAACAGCAAUAAACAAUGUGCGAAUGCAA